UACGUAGGGUGCGAGCGUUGUCCGGGAUUAUUGGGCGUAAAGAGCUCGUAGGCGGUCUGUCGCGUCGAUCGUGAAAACUUGGGGCUUAACCCUGAGCUUGCGGUCGAUACGGGCAUGACUGGAGUUCGGCAGGGGAGACUGGAAUUCCUGGUGUAGCGGUGAAAUGCGCAGAUAUCAGGAGGAACACCGGUGGCGAAGGCGGGUCUCUGGGCCGAUACUGACGCUGAGGAGCGAAAGCGUGGGGAGCGAACAGG
rnacentral:rRNA from 1 species